UCACCGGCAUCUGCGUAAAAGCUUGGCAGAGUAAAUCCGGCACCGGACACGACGAAGAGG
rnacentral:sRNA from 12 species